GACGAACGCUGGCGGCGUGCUUAACACAUGCAAGUCGAACGAUGAAGCCGGAGCUUGCUCUGGUGAAUUAGUGGCGAACGGGUGAGUAACACGUGAGUAACCUGCCCUUGACUCUGGGAUAACUGCGGGCAACUGUAGCUAAUACCGGUUACGACCCUCGGAGGCAUCUCCUGGGGGUGGAAAGAAUUUCGGUCAAGGAUGGACUCGCGGCCUAUCAGCUAGUUGGUGAGGUAAAGGCUCACCAAGGCGACGACGGGUAGCCGGGCUGAGAGGGUGACCGGCCACACUGGGACUGAGACACGGCCCAGACUCCUACGGGAGGCAGCAGUGGGGAAUAUUGCACAAUGGGCGCAAGCCUGAUGCAGCAACGCCGCGUGAGGGAUGACGGCCUUCGGGUUGUAAACCUCUUUUAGCAGAGAAGAAGCGAAAGUGACGGUACCUGCAGAAAAAGCACCGGCUAACUACGUGCCAGCAGCCGCGGUAA
rnacentral:rRNA from 1 species